UCCGAAGUGGGUCUACAUGUUGAACUGGCACAAGUUUUACGCCGGAUGCCCUUCCUGACGCAAUUCCACAUUACAUGUAGAAAUGUGGCAGGGAUGGGGUUUGAACCGGGAACCUUCCGCACCAAAACCAAGCGCGCUAACCACUUGAUCACCACCUCUGCCUAGUGCGCAUUUUCCAGAAGGUUAU